rnacentral:tRNA from 1 species
GGGUGUAUAGCUCAGUAGGUAGAGCAGUUGGCUUUUAACCAAUUAGUCGUAGGUUCAAAUCCUACUAUACCCA